CCCCUAUCACAUGACUGUCGCCUGGAAGGCUGAGGGCGUGAAGUAUGAGACAGGUGUGCUGGAGUCAGAGACGUUCCCCACCAGCUGCAACCCAUUCCAUAAUCAAGACAUCUACAAAUACUCUGUCCUGCCACUUCCACUCUGCCAGUUUUGCCACUGGUUCCUGUCUUCUGUUCCACAUCUCACCACCCUGCUACCCUGUUCUGGAAUCAACUCAUCAACAUUCACUUGGACCUGUUUUCCCUGUCCCAACCCAGCUCACUCCAACCUCAGCCUCCACAUCUGGUUUCCUACAACUCAUCCAAGCUUCCCUGGAUCUGCACUUCAUCUCUCCCUGUCUUACAAUAAAUAUAUUGGUUCAUCCCUGUUUCCUGGUCUGAGUCUGCUCUUGGGUUCCCCUGUGCUGCUCCACUUAACAGCAAUAGAAUGUUAUGACAGAGCAUAUUCUAGAAAGAGCGAGGUCAUUAUCUUCCUGUCCUCAGACAACUUUCAAGCCUAUUUGGUUCUGCAAACUAAUACAUUCUGGUAUUGGGUAGUAGAUAUAUUGAACUUAAAUAUGUGUAGUACAUUAGUGAAAAUGUGAAUGUUUUGUGACUCAAUUCACACAAAUAAUAAAACA